rnacentral:tRNA from 1 species
GCCAUUUUGAAGCGGUGGCAGAGAUUACUGCCCUCCGAAGGCAGGGGUUGCUGGUUCGAUCCCAGCCGGGCGCACCA